rnacentral:lncRNA from 1 species
UCUCAAUGCCUUGGUGCAUGCUCAACGGAUGAAUGGAAAGACUGGAUGCUCUUCAGCAGGGACCUACAGUUUCUACUUCAUCCCUGAGUUCUAAUGAGCCAAAGCCCAGGCAGCUCCAGAAGCUCCAGUGUUUGACACGCAACCCCACACAGGCGGAGGUUCUAGAGCUGUAUGGGUAUGGAUGCAGCUCCAGAAGUCUGCAGCCUUCCAGGAGGGGGGCGUGAAGACAGAACUGUACCUCCCAAUCCCUCCUGACCUGACUCACAUCAGCCACCAAGCUUGGGUGGACAAGAAACAGCUUCUCAGUGAAAAUUGUCAUGACAACCUGGAGAGAGGAAACGUUCUACUGCAAGCCGAGCGUGGGGACCGAGGGUCGGCGUCACAGUGAGAGAGCCAUGAUGGAGGACGGGGUCACCCUGCUUGCCCAACGCGGGGAGCUCCGUCAUACAGAACCCCAGUGAGUUCUGGAGGUCACGCUCUGUUUCAUAAAUGAAAAGCUGGGGCAGGGGCCUUGCCACACGGACACUCCUCGGGCCUCACAAGCUCCUGUGGGUGACCAGGCUGCUCCCCACCGCCGGCGUGGGCUGUUGCUACCCUGCACAUCCCUCGGGUGGGCAGCGGUGCUUGAAACGCCAGCUCCCGCCCUUCCUGCCUAGUGGCUUGACGGCUUCAUUGUGCUAACCACCCAGGCAAGCUUGCGUGACUAACGGAGGAGCGUCUCCCCUUAGAUUCUUCCCGCCCGGAGCCGGGGACAGCAGAAAACCACCUGACCUCCAGAUUCUCUCUCGUCCAGUGGAGAUUCUCCUGCCCGAAGGCAGGCGCUCUCCAAGGUCCCUCUCCCCAGAAGAGCCACGAUCCCAGGAAGCCGGCUUGUGCAGAGGAAAGAACCGCACCUCGUUGUCAGAACAACCCCAGCUCUGCCACCUACACCUUGUGUGACCUUGGGCAAGUCAGAGAAACUUCUCAGAUGCACAAUCUCGUCACGCUCCUAGUUUCCAAGCCCACACACCUGAGGGUCAAUGUCCCUUAUUGCACCCCCACCCCAUACCGACUCCAUCAGCAAGUCCUGUUUGUUCUUGCCCCAAGUAUCUCUCCUGUCUGCCCAUUCCCUGCAUCUCCCCCGUCACCACCCCGGGCCAGUCCCCGUUACCCGCACCUGGAGGUCUGCACCAGCCCCACCUGCACUCCGGCGUCCACUCUCGCCCCCAUUGCUGUGAUCUCCACACAACCACGAGCGGCCUUGAGAGCGCAGCGAGGCCGUGAGGCUGCGCAGAGCCCCUCAGUCAGCAGGACCGCGCUCACGGUUCAGUGGGCCGUCUGCUAGAGGCUUUCCGCAGUUCAUUCCUUCUCCCCACACAACUCUGAAGGAUCAGCCCCAGCUCUGGGGCCCAGGACUGCUUGGCUCAUCGAAGAAUCCCGCCAUGCAGGUACGAUGAUGUACAAAAGAGGAAGCAAAGCACUGAACACAGAACCUGGCAAGCUGUAAUCAUCUGGCACAUCUGAACUGUCUGGGUGGUGUCUCCGCUGCUACCGCCUCAGUGCAGGUUUCCAUCAUCUGUUGCCUGUUGACCAUGAAACUCCCAACUCAAUCCUCUCACUCCAGCCUUCCUCAAACCCCAGUGUCUUCCACAUACUAGGACCAGAGUGAUCCUCUGAACAUAAAACUGAUUGAUAACAGAUCAUCCAAAUGGACUAAUAAUUGACCAAUUAAUAAUUGACAAUCAAAAAAUUCUCUCCUCAAAAAAAAAGGCAAGAAAACUGGCAAAAAAUGUCAAAAUCAACUUUUCUAGAACUCUGAAAGUUAACCACCAAAGGCUUGGAAUAAUCCGGGAAGCUUUUAUUUAAUUAAAAUGGCUGAGUCUUGGUAUGAACAGCAAACUUUGUGGUGUUUCAACUUGCCCUAUUCCUAUCUCCCUAUCUCCCACGUGGUGGUUCCCUAGAAAACUAACAAUCACAGUAAAAGACAGCAGCCUGGUAGCUAUCAGAGAGAGAGAAAUGGAGUCGGGGGUCCUUUAAAGCCUCAUUCCCAUGGAAUCGUCAUUAGUUAGCCUCUCUAGUAGUCCCCUGGAAGACUGCACUUAUAAGGUCAUCUUUAUUAGACCUGACUUAGAGCUCACCUAGUGCAAAAGGCUUUUCUCCAGGGGUGUUUGUAAAAAAAUAAAAAUAAAAAAAUUAGAGACUGUU